rnacentral:tRNA from 3 species
GGGGAGUUAGCGAAGUGGCUAAACGCGGGUGGCUGUAAACCAUCUCCUUACGGUUCGGCGGUUCGAAUCCGUCACUCCCCACCA